AUUCCAGCUCCAAUAGCGUAUAUUAAAGUUGUUGCAGUUAAAGAGCUCGUAGUUGAACUUCUGGCUAUUCUUCCAGCUGGCUUCGGUCGCUGUAAGAGUGGUCAUCCGCUUGGGAACUACGUUCGAACUUCACUGUUCGGCGUAAGGAACAGGCAUUUUACUUAGAAAAAAUUAGAGUGUUCAAGGCAGGCUAUCGCCCUGAAUACACAAGCUUGGAAUAAUGAAAUAGGACUAUUUCCAUUUUAUUGGCUAUUGGAAUUAGUAAUGAUUAAUAGGGACAGUUGGGGACAUUAGUAUUUAAUUGUCAGAGGUGAAAUUCUUGGAUUUAUUAAAGACUAACUUAUGCGAAAGCAUUUGUCAAGGAUGUUUUCAUCG
rnacentral:rRNA from 1 species